rnacentral:snRNA from 1 species
GGAUGGAGGAUGAUCUAUCUAGAUAUGGUACCUGUCACCCCAUUGAUCACCAGGGUAGACUCAGAUCUAACUGGUUAGGCAGGUGUCCUCUUCCUCCCUCCUGCUCCAUGUGCAUCCCUCCUAUAGCUAUGUACUUUGUCAAUGAGGGCAACCGUUCCCAUAGCAGUCAGUCCUGGGGCUUGAGCUCAGGGCCUGGGUGCUGUCCCUGAGGUCUUUUUGCUCAAGGCUAGCACUCUACCACUUUAAGCCACAGCACCACUUCCAUUUUUCUGGUGGUUCAUUGGAGAUAACAGUCUCAAAGACAUUCCUGCUGAGUCUGGCUUUGAACUAUGAUCCUCAGAUCUCAGCCCAUUGAAUAGCUAGGAUUACUGUCAUGAGCCACCAGCUCCUGGCAAAUGGUGGUUCUUUGGUCAAGUGUAUAUGAGAAGCUGUGUUCCCCUGUUAGAAUCUCCAAAAAAGCUUUCAAAAUACCAGACUGGAGAUAUAGCUCAAGUGGUAAAGCAACAGGCAUGAAU